UUUGUUUACUGUUUCCCACUAACUUCUAACCAUGCCUCUUCUACAAGACAGCUUAGGUAACCUGAACACAGCAUUUACUAAGCUGGCAGAACUUGGAAGACUCCCUCUUGCGAUCAAUCUAAAAGGACUCUGUCAGAACUGGACGUACAGGGCUCUCCAGGAAACCAUACCAGAACAUGCACUGGCUUUAGAACAAAUGGCUUAUCUUAUUUUCCAGGUGCUUUGUUUAUCCAGAUGAACGAGGGCCUCCCUUGGGGCCUCCCAAGAUUCUUUCUGCAUCAUGGGGAGUAAUGAAGAGGACUUGUCAUUGCCUCCAGCUGCCAUUUAAAACUGUCUCUGCUCCCUGCAAAAAGCAGUGUAGAUGUUUUCUAAAGCAUGGCGUUAUCUGGAGAAUUCCUGAUGACAGACUCACAUUUGCUGUCUUGCUUUCCAUUAUGAAAAACCACAAAGGAAAAGCUAUGUAGCAAACUGCUUUGGCUUGCCAAUUGUUAAAAGGAAUGCAGAUCCCUCUGCUGCACAGGAACCACCUCUGCAAUAAAAAAAACCGCCAAAAAUAUUCCUGCAGCAUACUAAGAAAUCCCCAUGAAGUCAAACAGGAGGUUCCCAGAACUUCAGAAGGCAGGCAUUACCUCUCCUCAAUUCUGACUCUGAAGAAAAGAGAAGUUUUGAUACCCUUCAGCAACAGAAUGUGAUCAACAAGGAUGCAACAAGCAACAGUUUAUUUGUAGAAAAAUCCUUUAAAAUUUACUACAAUGUAAGAUUAAGGAAAAAAUAGUCUUAAUAUAUGUACAUACAAUAUAUAUAAACAAACACUUAUCGCACCAUGAAAAUUACAUGCUUUUUAGAACAGAGAAUGAAUCAUAUUCCCUCAUAUCAAUUUUAAAGUUAUCACUGCAAGAAACCUUGCUUCCUUUUUUUUUUUUUAUCCCCAUCAAAGUUUUCAAGUACAGGAAGUAAGUAAUGCAGGAUCUAAUAGUAGAAAACCUUUGUUAUACACAAAUUACAACUGACAGCUAGACAAUAUUAUUUGUAGUAUCCAACACUUGUGGUUUUGAGCUCUAUUAUAAUGAUAUGAACUUUUACCUGAGGUGCAUGGAAAUAACGAAGCAUGAUAAUUGGCAAGUUUAAGAGAUUUUCACAUUAUGAUUUGACUUUAAUUGAAGUUGAUUAGGUAUCACAUCUAUACCUGUAGUACUGGCACAAGAAUGCUCUGCGCGAGUCAUCACCAAUGACUUAGAAGUGCAGGAAAAAUUAACAGGCAAGCACCACUUGCAAUGAAAAGCAUGCAGACAAUUUAAGUGAAACAGAGGUAGCAUGUUCUUGUAACUCCAGCAGGGUCAUUCAAAUCAACUGCACUCUCCCUUCUGCAAAAGGCACUCACUUUUUCAGCUAAAAACAAUGCGCUUAAGUUUGGUCAGACUGACCACAAAUGGUGGAUUUCUCCCCUUACAAAUAUAGAAAAAUGUUAAGCAGAGAACACAGUUAAAAGAAAAAAAAAUAAUGUAAGGAACAUACACAUAUAAAGGUACCAUGUGCUAUUCCUCUCCCCCUAACUUUUAUGGGAAGAAUUAUAGAAAACAGUUGCAGUACAUAAUCCAAAAGUUAAGACUUUCCAGUUGAAAUGGCAGUAUUAAGCAGCACAUUCUCAAUCAGAAAUAGUUUUAAACCACCAGAAGUACACCAGUCUUUUUAAUAAAGAGCAACAAUUCACAGUUAGGAGUAGUAAGUUUAUGCACAUAAAAGGUGGUGCUAGAGAAGGAUCCUCUGAU